ACAGAUAGAGGCGCGGCAUGCAAAAGUAUCUGCUCGGGACGUGACCGGUCAGGGUCACAUGGUCCGGCAGGAUCAGAAGCAGAAAAAGGGCUUGCCGCCGAAGCAAAGAAUUGCCACUUCUUUGCUGGUCAUACGGAUAAGAUCCGUAUGACUGUCGCAGUUUGCGGAGAGCUAA
rnacentral:ncRNA from 1 species